rnacentral:lncRNA from 1 species
GUGAUUUUAAUUAGAAAAUCUUAACAACGUAAAGAUUGUAUACUCCGAUCCGCAAUCCAAUGGUUGCUCCUCAACAGGCCUGCUCCUCAAGUAAGUCACUAAGUCUUGAACCUUAUUAACCUGCGAUUUUUAUUCAAUAUAAUUGAAUAGUUAUUACUUUUAACACGUAACAAGAUCACUACAAGAAAAGGUGGUCUUCUUGUUCUUGUGGAAGUUAGAAGUUUAAAGAGAUUGAUUUGUUUUACGUGAAAGUCACAGAAUCUCUGUAAUGCUAGAUCGAUUUGUUUCCUCAAACAAUUUCUCUGAGCUUUGUCUUGUCUUACAGGUGAUUCCAUUGGAGCUUUUUGAAUCUGAGAAAUGAAUAAACAUUAAAAUCCAAAACCUCUUUAUUGAUGUUGAAUUUCUAGUUUAGCAUGUGUUCAGAUUGGAUCUAGGAUUGAAGACAACCUAGACGAAAUCAGAAGCUUAGUAAACCGGAGUUGGUUAAAACCUUAGAGAAGGUUACAAAUAGGCAUGGGCGUUUGGGUCUUCGGGUCAGGUUCGGGUAGGGUAAUUCGGGUUUGGGUAUUUUCGGGUCUUGCUUAAGAGGAACCAAAUGGGUAUAUAUAUAAUUUCGGGUCGGGUUCGGUUCGGUUUUAUUCGGGUUUGGGUAUAUUCGGGUAUUGAAUUUAAAACCCGAGAAAUACCCGAACUAAUUUCGACAUGUCCUAAUUUACAACUUUACAGAGCUGUGGAAACGGGAAGAAAGCAGGCUACGUUUCAUGUUGAAAACGAGAGAGAAUAAACAUUGCCUUUUACUAUCAGAUUGACAUGCUCAGUAUCUCAAAACUCAAUCCUCC